rnacentral:rRNA from 1 species
AGAGUUUGAUCCUGGCUCAGGACGAACGCUGGCGGUGUGCCUCACACAUGCAAGUCGAGCGGACGAAGAUUGAAGCUUGCUUCAGUCCAAGUUAGCGGCGGACGGGUGAGUAACACGUAGGAAUCUGCCUUCAGGCGGGGGACAACGGAACGAAAGUUGCGCUAAUACCCCAUAUGCGAGUAAUCGUAAAAGGAGCAAUCCACCGGAAGAUGAGCCUGCGUCCGAUUAGCUAGUUGGUAGGGUAAGAGCCUACCAAGGCUACGAUCGGUAGUUGGUCUGAGAGGAUGAUCAGCCACAAUGGAACUGAGACACGGUCCAUACUCCUACGGGAGGCAGCAGUGGGGAAUUUUACGCAAUGGGCGAAAGCCUGACGUAGCGACACCGCGUGAGCGAAGAAGCCUUUUGGGGUGUAAAGCUCUGUCAGCUGGAACGAACACAAUG